rnacentral:lncRNA from 1 species
AUCAUCGAAUCCUUAAAAGAAGCUCACCAUUGGAAUUCUAAAUUAGAAUGUUAAAACACACAAGUAUUAGAAUGCAAAAAAUGCAAGAAAUGAUGGUUUUUUUAUUUUUAAACAAAUGGUGAAAUUCCCUGACCAAAAUUUUAGAUGACGAGCUUUUUGGUUUGAUUCAUUAUCACUCUACCGAGACAUGCAUAUGCAUCCUUGAGGCUUAAACGUAAUAAUUGGAAAUGCAAGAAAGUUCAGGUUAGAGUAAUUCUAGAUUAUUGGUUAACUAAAAAAACUACGGCUCCAACCAGAACCACUGAACCCCCACUGUAAUAAAAAAAACUUCUGAAAUAACAAGCUAAUCUCAAGAAGCUAAACUCAUUGCUAAUUCCAAACAGAACCACUGGGAUAAAAGUAAUUGCCACUAGACCCACUGGGAUAAAAGUAAUUGCCACUAGACCCACUAUGCAGAUUUAACUAAAAAAUGAUAUAAAAAGUCGCUUCCAGAUUUAAUCCAACUAAAAAUAUGGCUAUGCAAAAGUACCAGAGCCUGAACUGAAAAACAAUCUCUCUAAAAUAACCACCGUGAACACUUGCAACAACGGACUUACAUAGACAAUUAUAUUCGGAAAUCGAUCAGUAACAUCUCACGGAAACAUGGGCAGAGAAAUAAGUGAGCCCACCUAUUGACUAUUCCAACAAUGAUAGACCUGCAGAACGAACACAAACUACAAAUUCCCGUGUGGUCGCCCCCCGACACCUGAGUCUCCACAUCCAAAGUCAAUCUCGCCCCUGCGUGCAUAGGACCAACGCAGCCAUGUAAAAAGCCAAAGAAAAACCAAUGACGAUUAUCUUAAACAACAUCCGAAAACAGGGUGCCAAUUCCAGAAUUGUCAAUACUCUUACUUCAAGCAUUAUCUUCACUUGUGAAUUUAUCAGUUCGAUCGUUAUGCAAAAAUAGACAAAAUGUGUGCAUGGUAUAUGUAUAUGUCAUCAAUUUUAACUCCACUCCCAUGCUGCACAUUCGAUGUUUCACAUAAAUAAAACUCAUAAUAGUGCAAAAAAUUAAUAGUCAUAUUCCAACGGCAAGUAUCACAUUUUAAUUUGUAAUUCUCAUCAUUAAACCAUCCUAAUGUAGGUGAACAAUAAUUCAAAAUUCCCAAAUGCUGAGUUACAAUAUGCGUCAAUGUGCAAUCAUGCCACAAGUUAUUUGUUCUACAACUAUCACCAAUAUUAGAGGUCAUAUCAAAAUGAUUGAGCAUACGCAAAAUAUUGUUGUCUCUCAAAUCAAGAAAGUUAUCACAAGCAAUGUAAAUCUGAUGCACCAAAAAUUUAUUGUUGACAUCAUGUUCUCCAAUUAAUUGAAUAGUGUAUCUAUGGGCAUUAGCAAAAGAUUUUGAAAUUGUUAACUCAGAAACUUUAUCCAUUGCAUGUGACAAAUAUAUAGGUGCAUCAAGUUUAGUAGAACACAAAGAAUUAUUAGGCUUAACCAUAGGAAACACUUCUUCAUGUUUAAUUAAUUCAACGCAACAUAAAUCAAAUUUAAUCAUCGCAUCACAAGUCUCUUCCAAAACAGUAAGUAACUCCUCACAUAAAUCAUUAUCAUUUGAAUAAAUGGGUGUACUCAAAUCAGCAAGUAAAUCAACAAUUUUACAUGGGGCAGAAAAUUCAUCAAGUAUCUCAUUUAUUUCAUCACACGUCAUAUUCAGUUCAUCAACAUGAUCCUCUUUAUCAUUACCUUGUAGGCUCAACUCACUUCUAGUACGCCUUCUCUGCAAUUUUUUCUCAGCUUCACGAGCAAGAUUAAGCAAACACAAUAUUGAGUCGUAUUGUCCAUAUUCAAUCAUGUAAGAAAUUUCAAAAUUAAGCCCAUAAUAAAACCUAUCCAUGUUUCUUUGUUCUGUUUCAUCUAAACCAGAUCGCAAGGUUAAAAUUUGGAACUCAUGGUAGUAAUCAUCAACAGUUUUAUCAUCUUGUGUCAAACGUCGUAAUUUGGAACGCAACUCAUAAGCAUAACUUGGAGGAACAUAUUUUUCUCUCAUGAUUUUCUUCAUAUCAAUCCAAGUGUGAGGUAUUUUGUUUUCUCUAACUAUCUCACUCCACCAUGAUAAUGAAUCAAAACGAAAUCUACUACUAGCAAUUUGGACCUUACGACUAUCUAGUACAUGGAAGCAUGUGAAUUGCUCAAUUAAAGCUAUUUCCCAAUCAAUAUAAGCUUCAGCAUCAUUAUUUCCAUCAAAGAAAGGUCCAAAACAAUUGUUGACAUUACAAGGAUUGCGAUAUACCUUUUCCUUGCCAAUGUCAACAAGAGACGAGGAGGAUGGAUGUGGUGAAAAACGCUCAUGUCGGUCACUUGAUAGCAUAGGCCUAUUUUUCAUCCUUUGUGUAAGUCCUGUCAUGGUUAGUAUAAGACAAGAAACAAAAUACAGCAAUAUGUUCCUAUCAACUAAUAGGAUGUGGCUACAAGUCGCUCAACUCUCAAGCUAAAAAUCAAGUUCUUACAAGUUCUUACCAUGCAAAACAGGAAGGUGAUGGCCAGCGGCGUAACCAACACCUCCGGAGAUUAAAUGUAUCGAUGCCUCGGUAACAAACCAACCUAGGUGUAGAAUCUGUGGAGCUUGGAGGCUUUUGUGAGUAGCAAAGAAUAGUAAAUAAUCAAAUCAGCAAUGCAAAGUUGAAAAUAUGCUCAAUAAUGCUAGUCCUAGCUGUUGGAGUCGAUAAGAACGAAUUAAAGAAAUAAUCUAAGCCUAAAUACUGAAGAAGGUAGGAUAGAAAGAUGGCACAACAAGUAAAUCCCUAGGAUUUUUUUUCUUUUUUUUUCUUUUUGUGGCCUUCUGUUUGGCUUCUUAUUCUUUUCUUCUUCUUUUUUUUUCUUUUUUUAACCCCAGAAACUCACGCAAAAGAAGGACCGGAAAACUGUACGUCGGUCUGUCGAAGAACAGCAAAGGCUGCAGUAAGAAAAAUUCAGAAAAAUAUGGAAAAAUAUGGGUUAGAAGGGUAUCGACACAAGCUUUCCAGCAAGGGCAAGAUCACUCAAAACGGAUGUCGGACGGUGGAGAAAACUGAGAAACACUGGGCUGCAGCGAUACCGGAAAACGGAUGCAGAAACUUGGAAGCUCCGAAAGUCCACCUUACAAACCGAAUUUGAGGGUCAAAGUGCAGGGCAAAGCCCUAGAUAUUUCCUGAUGCGCCUCGUCAUGAGCUUUCCAAAAAGUCCAAGAACGUCCAAAUCCGAGUUGGUACGCAAAAGAUACGCCCGUUUUACUGAACACGGGUCAAACCCACCCGAAACUAAAAUUCUACUCGGACUCGGGUCCGAAACUGACUCGAACUCUUUCUCUUUUUUUUUCGUUUUUUUUCUUUCUUUCCUUUUUUUUUCUUUCCUUUUUUUUUUGACAACUUUCUGAACAACUUGAUCUCUAAACAAAAUUCGAUCUAUUAUGAAAACUUUCCAAAAGCACUCUUGAUUGGACUCGGACGCGAACUUGCGGCUGAAAACUAUAACUUGCCGAUUCAAUGUAGGACUCGAUGUAGGACAGGGUGUAGGACUCGGUGUAGGACUCGAAGAGAGACUCGGUGGGAGAUAUGGUGGCGGCGGGAGAUUAUGGCGGUGGUGUGGUAUGAAGUUUGGCGGCGGAAGAUUGAUGAAGGAAACCUGCGUCACACGAAGAACAAGAAAACCAAAAGCAAGUUCGAUCUAGUAGAAAAAAUCUGAAAAACGAUCAAAUCUAAUCCAGCAACUCGACACGAUUAAUGCAGCAAAGAUUCAACAAUGCAAAUACUAAAGUGAAAAUUGCAAGGCUCAGAUUGGUUCUAGGACAAGGUAACUAAUUCUAAUUUUUGUUUGGCUUUUUCUGGACGAUAGGUAAAAACAGAUCUAAACUACGGAUAAACUGGAAAAAUCUCACCGAGCAACCUUAAGCUCUGAUACCACGUGAUACGGGUGCGGGUGGCCCGAUCUUUCGAUGAGAUUGGUAACUCUCGAUUUGGGUAGGAGGUGACGUUCACGAUCUGACUACGGCCUAGGAGGCAGCGCCUUAGCAAUCGAUACACCAACUCCAAAGGAUUAUUGAUCACGCGGGGACACGAUCAACCUGACCACGAAGGUCUUUGUUCCUGCAAGCAAUCGAAGAACAAGCAAGAACAAGAUAAAUAGCAGAUGCAAUCUAAAAUUGCGAAUAUACUAUAUCAAACCAAUGUCUCAACGAGACGAUAAGUUGGAAUCUUGACGACGAUAAAACAGGUGGUCUAACCGACACACGCGAUUACACGAAAGUAGCAAAGAUGGCUAAAUUUUAUCUAAUCAAAACCCCAGGCUCGUUAGGGGGGGCUCAUGGAGUAUAUAAAGGAGGAGAGAGAGAUAUUUUCGUCCACCUUGAAUAAGGAGGCCGAAAUCCAACUCUAUCUCUAACUUUCCUAACAAACUACAACUCUUUAGAAAACAGAAAAACAGAUCCGUCAGCUUGUUUUGUCCGUCACGGUCAGCACGAGUCGAAUCUCUUGAUGGGGCCAAAUCCGUUGGAAAGGUCUUGUAAUUACCUUUCCAACAAGUACUUGUUUGCUUGAUUUGGACUCCGUAUGCGUCCUGGGUGAUUAAAACAAAUUCGGGUCUCCUGACAGUUCGGAUCCGAAUCGGAUUCAACUUUAAUUCGUGAUAUCUUUCUCUAGCAAGCUCCGAAUCAUGUGCCGUUUGAUUUGUUGUAAAGUAGACUUGAUAGGCUUCACUUUGAAUCUCCCUUUGCAGGCUUUCACACUUUAUCUUCACUUUGGACUUGUAAAGUUCAAUAAGAUGCCUACAUAAUAAGAUUACACAAGAUAGUAGCUCCGCCUCUUUGCAAGUAACAUAUUGAAAACAUUUUGUAAUUGAAUUCACCUAAUUAUAAUUGUUAUUAGAUAUACCAACAAUUAGGGUUCCAAUGGUCAUAUCCAUGGUUAGCAUGUCCAUAUCAGCUUACAUGUCAGUGCGUUGCUGGAGUAAAUAAACAGAAACUACCCAUAGUUUAUAAACAAGCAUCAGCGGAUGUAAAAAAAACCAUAUGCAUGAUUCUGUAAGGGGCAAACUAUGCGAUAAUACACACUGAAGUCAAGAAGAAAUCACAUGACAAGUCUUAAAUUUCACAAGGAGCCUUAACACAUUGCAAUGUACAAACAAGUUCAAGAUUACUGUGGUAAAAUACAAUCAUAAAUGCAGUCAUGAAGGAAUGAACUGAAGUAAGAAAUUGUAGGUCGAAACAAGGAAAUACAACAGGGAAGAAAAUGACUGACCUCGGCACUUAAUUUGUGUGUGGAUAAAUUCUGCAACUUCUGCUUCAUCUUCUCUAGGAUCCAGGUUCCUGCUAAUUUGCAUGUCCUCUCUCGUAUUUCAGCAAAUGGCUCAGCUUCAGUUACUCUUGAUGACAGAAGAAACAGGGGGAUAAGACCUCCUGUUACUUAAACCCGUUAUUUAAAUCAAUCCAGCCAAAGUUAUCUCCCUUGAUCUAUGAACAUGAUCCACACAACACAAAAAUAGAAUCAGGUCCAUAUCGCACAAAAAUCAUGAGUCUAUUCUAUGGAGAACACAGGGAGGAGAAGACCUCCUGUUCAGGCUUCAGCCAUGAUACAGCAACAUCCACGGGUACAAUAGGGGAAGGGAAAGCAUAGAGCAGUUGAAGGGAGCCGAACCUGUGGUUUCGUGCUACCAUGGAGUGGCUCGCCGGCG